UUUUGGAAUAUGUUUUAUUCUGUACAGGCUUCCUUUUCACGCUGUCAUUUAGGUUAGUAGAGUAACUACAAUGUUGUUGAUCCAUCCUCAGUUCUCUAUCAUAGUGAAAUCCCUGAAUGGUUUCCUUCCUCACCGGUAGCUAAGUUAGGAAGGACACCUGUAUCUUUGCAGUGACUUGUGUAUUGAUACACCAUCCAAAGUGUAAUUAAUAACUUCAACAUGCUCAAAGGGAUAUUCAAAGUUGUUUUUUUUACCCAUGUACUAGGUUCCCUUCUUUACGAGACAUUGGAAAACCUCCCUGGUCUGUGUGGUUCGACCUGUUUUGAAAUUCACUGCCCGACUGAGGGACCUUGCAUGUGUGGAGUAGUCAUUAAAAAAAAAUCUAACACAAAUAUUGCACACAGAGUCCGUGCAACUUAUGACAUGUUAAGCAAAUUUGUACUCCUGAACUUAUUUAGGCUUUCCCUAACAAAGGGGUUGAAUACUUAUUGACUCAAGACAUUUCCGCUUUUCAUGUUUUGUAGAAAUUUUCAAAAACAUAAUUCAAUAUUGUGAGGGUGACACAAUCUCAAUUGUAUUCAUUUUAAAUUCAGGCUGUAACACAAACAAAAUGUGUAAAUAGUCAAAGGGGUGUGGAUACAUUGUAUCGAUCUUUCCUUAUGAAUCUAGCCCUAAUUAGACUUUGUUUGAAGAAAAAUAAGAGAAAUAAAAAAAGGUUUUCACGAGUUUCCCCAAUAGUGGAAACAAGUAUUUAAGAAUCUCUUUGAAUGUGUACUCUCCUUUUAAACUUGGCUAUUCAUAUGUUGUUGUCGUCAUUGACAACCGUACUGUAGCUCUUUUGUCGUCGUUUUAUGCAUUGAUUGACCUGUGAACGCAUUACAUUUAGAUCUAACUAUCAGUAGGAAUAUGUAUAAUCAUAUGCUGUUCAGCGAGUUGAACCUGCAGAUCUGUUGUUCUGGAGUACAGGCUAACGAAACAAUGCUCAUAUGAAGUGCUAGUUGACUGUGUUGUCUUUUUUUUUCUUGAUCUGUUAAGACUGCUGGGACCUUGUUAAAGUUACAGGUGACAUAGACCCUGUCUGCCUUAGAGGAUAAAGCUACAGGUGACAUAGACCCUGUCUGCCUUAGAGGAUAAAGCUACAGGUGACAUAGACCCUGUCUGCCUUAGAGGAUAAAGCUACAGGUGACAUAGACCCUGUCUGCCUUAGAGGAUAAAGCUACAGGUGACAUAGACCCUGUCUGCCUUAGAGGAUAAAGCUACAGGUGACAUAGACCCUGUCUGCCUUAGAGGAUAAAGCUACAGGUGACAUAGACCCUGUCUGCCUUAGAGGAUAAAGCUACAGGUGACAUAGACCCUGUCUGCCUUAGAGGAUAAAGCUACAGGUGACAUAGACCCUGUCUGCCUUAGAGGAUAAAGCUACAGUCAUGUCUUUAGUUGUAUGCCUGUUCUUUCUAUUGAAGACCCUUCUAGGGUUAUGUGCAAUGACAAUGUUUUGUAAAUGUGUAAUAUUUAACCUUUUAAAGUUGUAGAAUGACAAGCUUGUAUUUUUCUCAAUAUUUAUAAAUGCUACAGUACUACCCUUGAGCAGGUUCAUACAUGCGAUGGUUGUCUGUUGGCACACAGGGUUCUGGGCGUGUAAUGAUAAAAGCAUCUCUGAGUAGGACUGCUGGAUCUCGGAUCAAGUCUCGCUGGUCCAUGUAAUAUUCAUUGUAAUCUAAAACUGAUCCUAGAUCAGUAAUCCUACUCUGAAACGUGAUAAGAAUACAGGCCCUUGUGUUGGAAGUGUCUAAAAAUCCAUUUUGUCAUAGGUCUUACUUACUUUCUAUGGUUUUGUACAUUAACUCCCAAGUUGUGGUAAUAAAAUGCAUACAAGGCUCUAAAUGCUA